rnacentral:rRNA from 1 species
AACCAAACGAGGUCUCUGGGUCACCUCCCACCCGUGUUUAUCGUACCUUGUUGCUUCGGCGGGCCCGCCUCACGGCCGCCGGGGGGCAUCCGCCCCCGGGCCCGCGCCCGCCGAAGACACACAAACGAACUCUUGUCUGAAGAUUGCAGUCUGAGUACUUGACUAAAUCAGUUAAAACUUUCAACAACGGAUCUCUUGGUUCCGGCAUCGAUGAAGAACGCAGCGAAAUGCGAUAAGUAAUGUGAAUUGCAGAAUUCAGUGAAUCAUCGAGUCUUUGAACGCACAUUGCGCCCCCUGGUAUUCCGGGGGGCAUGCCUGUCCGAGCGUCAUUGCUGCCCUCAAGCACGGCUUGUGUGUUGGGCUCUCGCCCCCCGCUUCCGGGGGGCGGGCCCGAAAGGCAGCGGCGGCACCGCGUCCGGUCCUCGAGCGUAUGGGGCUUCGUCACCCGCUCUGUAGGCCCGGCCGGCGCCCGCCGGCGAACACCAUCAAUCUUAACCAGGUUGACCUCGGAUCAGGUAGGGAUACCCGCUGAACUUAAGCAUAUCAAUAAGCGGAGGAA